GGUAUUAAAGAUAAGGGACCGAAUGGUAUUUUCAACCAAAAUAUGGACUCGUGUAUGUUAUGUAUAGGACCACAUACCACAAAAUUGCCAACCUAGCUUCAUAUAAUCCGUGGGGGAAUUAUCCCAGUGGGCAAUUUAGACUUUUUAAAAUAAUGGGAAUAACCUUACAGUCCACGCAACGUAGGUAGUCGGACUGUCCAAGUGUGAACCCAAAACGCCACACAGAAGAAGCCCCCAAAAAUAACGGGACGCCCUCUCCAAUAACGUGGGCGGUGAACCCCCUUGCCCGUUGCCCGCAUUUUACUCCUUCCCGCUCCCCUACACACAAGUCAAACCCCUAACCCCCUGCCCGAAAUUACACCCUCCUAAAUUUUCUCUCCCCUCACCACUCCAGAUAGAUAUAUAUAUAUCUAUCUAUAUAUAACCACCCCAACCACUACCACCAAACCUCAAAUCGAAAAUGGCCAAGCUCAUCUUCACCGCCGCCGCCCUCUUCCUCCUCUUCGCCUUCUCCCAUGCCCGCGCGCUGUCCGAUCUCCCCAAUAGCCGUGAUGACGCAGCAGACAACAAGAUCCCGGUAACCGAUGCCGAACCGUUUAAGGCUACCACCAACACUCUACGUUUACCGAGCGAGAGACCCGGGUCCGAAUCCGGACCCGUUGUGGAAUUGGAGGAGACAGAGACCUUCCCCGUCGCCGAGGAGGAGAAGAAGCUUCCGGAAGCCGAGUUCGCCACCAUCGAAUCGAACGAGGAGAACACCGCCGAUGCGUCGAAAUCCGAGGCCGUUCCGUUGACCGUCAUCAGCUUCCGCCCCGUCGGCCGCCACUUCCCCCGCCGUCCGUUCCCGAUGUCUAUCCGUCCAGGUCACCGCUGCGGCCACGGUCGCCGCCAGCCCAAGCGGUGGACCCCGCGCUUCCACGGCAGCGAGCGCGAGAAGGACACUCCCUACGGCGACGACAUGAUCUUGUCCUCCGGCGACGAGAUGAAGUUCGAUCGUCCGUUCCGCGGCGGAGCGCGCCAGAUCCCGGCUAGGUGGUUCAACUUCCGCCACGGCGGACCUAGAUUCCCUUACAAACACGACGAUGACAUGGAAUCCCAGAGGCCUCACCGCCACCAUCGCCGCCACCACCACCACGAUCGCGAC
rnacentral:lncRNA from 1 species